GACUCUGCUGUGUACUACUGUGCUGUGAGGCCCACAGUGACAGGAAACCCACAGACUCUGAACAAAAACCUCUGAGAGAAAACAGCAGUACUCCACACAUCCACUAGAGGGAAACACUGUCUAAUUCUGAACUUCAGCAUCGACCGCACACAAUCACAAAAGCAUCAAGAGGUGUGAGAAGAGCCAGACUGUAAGAGAGGAGCAGACACAGACACUUGAGAGGAUUUGAGCUUUUAAGAUGGAGUCUGCCCUGUGUACACUGCUCUCAGCUCUGGUUGUGCUCCUGUGUUCUUCCCCAGAGUGUAAAGGAGAAGACACAGUGACCCAGACACAAGGAGACGCCUCUGUCCCUCAGGGACACACAGCCACAAUACAGUGCACUUUUAAAACCAGCGAUCCAACUCCAACUCUGUUCUGGUACAAGCAAGAAGGACGAGGAGCUCCGAAAUACAUGAUAAAGAAAACUAAAUCAUCAGUAACCUGGUCUAAGACAAUCAAAUCUCAAGAGUUUAAUGAAGAGCGAUUUGAAGUUGAGGCGGUGAAGGACUCUUUCUCUCUGAAGAUCCAGGAUGUGGAUGUGACAGACUCUGCUGUGUACUACUGUGCUCUGCAGCCCACAGUGACAGGAAACACCAAAACUCUGAACAAAAACCUCUGGAGCAAAGACAACACAAUCCUGCAGUAGCUCCACUAGAGGGAGACACUCUCUGUGAAGCUUCAGACUAAACACAGACGCAGCAAAGCCAACUGUCAGUGUGAGAAUC